AAAGACCUCGCGUUAUUGGAGCGGCCGAUAUCUGAUUAGCUAGUUGGUGGGGUAAAGGCUCACCAAGGCGACGAUCAGUAGCUGGUCUGAGAGGAUGAUCAGCCACACUGGAACUGAGACACGGUCCAGACUCCUACGGGAGGCAGCAGUGGGGAAUUUUGGACAAUGGGCGCAAGCCUGAUCCAGCCAUUCCGCGUGAGUGAAGAAGGCCUUCGGGUUGCAAAGCUCUUUCGCAAGGGAAGAAACGAUACGAGCGAAUAACUCGUGUUAAUGACGGUACCUUGAUAAGAAGCACCGGCUAACUACGUGCCAGCAGCCGCGGUAAUACGUAGGGUGCGAGCGUUAAUCGGAAUUACUGGGCGUAAAGCGUGCGCAGGCGGUUUUGUAAGUCAGAUGUGAAAUCCCCGGGCUCAACCUGGGAACU
rnacentral:rRNA from 1 species